rnacentral:rRNA from 1 species
GUGGGGAAUAUUGGGCAAUGGGGGAAACCCUGACCCAGCGACGCCGCGUGAGGGAAGAAGGCCUUAGGGUCGUAAACCUCUGUUGUGUGGGAAGAAGAGCGUGACGGUACCACACGAGGAAGUCCCGGCUAACUACGUGCCAGCAGCCGCGGUAAUACGUAGGGGACGAGCGUUGUCCGGAUUUACUGGGCGUAAAGGGCGCGUAGGCGGUCAUUUAAGUCAGCUGUGAAAUGGUUUGGCUUAACCGGAUCAUGCGGUUGAAACUGGAUGACUGGAGUGAUGGAGAGGCAAGUGGAAUUCCCAGUGUAGCGGUGAAAUGCGUAGAUAUUGGGAAGAACACCGGUGGCGAAGGCGACUUGCUGGCCAGCAACUGACGCUGAGGCGCGAAAGCCAGGGGAGCAAACGGGAUUAGAAACCCUGGUAGUCC